UGGGGAAUUUUGGACAAUGGGGGAAACCCUGAUCCAGCCAUCCCGCGGGUGCGAUGAAGGCCCUCGGGUUGUAAAGCACUUUUGGCAGGAAAGAAACGUCAUGGGUUAAUACCCCGUGAAACUGACGGAACCUGCAGAAUAAGCACCGGCUAACUACGUGCCAGCAGCCGCGGUAAUACGUAGGGUGCAAGCGUUAAUCGGAAUUACUGGGCGUAAAGCGUGCGCAGGCGGUUCGGAAAGAAAGAUGUGAAAUCCCAGAGCUCAACUUUGGAACUGCAUUUUUAACUACCGGGCUAGAGUGUGUCAGAGGGGGGUGGAAUUCCGCGUGUAGCAGUGAAAUGCGUAGAUAUGCGGAGGAACACCGAUGGCGAAGGCAGCCUCCUGGGAUAACACUGACGCUCAUGCACGAAAGCGUGGGGAGCAAACAGG
rnacentral:rRNA from 1 species